rnacentral:rRNA from 1 species
GAUGAACGCUAGCGGCAGGCUUAAUACAUGCAAGUCGAGGGGCAGCAUGGUGUAGCAAUACACUGAUGGCGACCGGCAAACGGGUGCGGAACACGUACAGAACCUUCCUUCGAGCGGGGAAUAGCCCAGAGAAAUUUGGAUUAAUACCCCAUAGUAUAUUGAAAAGGCAUCCUUUUAAUAUUAAAGAUUUAUCACUUGAAGAUGGCUUUGCGGCUGAUUAGGUAGUUGGCGGGGUAACGGCCCACCAAGCCUGCGAUCAGUAACUGGUGUGAAGGCACGACCAGUCACACGGGCACUAGGACACGUGCCCGACUCCUACGGGAGGCAGCAGUAAGGAAUAUUGGGCAAUGGACGAAAGUCUGAACCAGCCAUGCCGCGUGGAGGAUGAAGGUCCUCUGGAUUGUAAACUUCUUUUAUAUGGGACGAAAAAAGGCUUUUUUAAGUCGUCUGACGGUACCAUAUGAAUAAGCACCGGCUAACUCCGUGCCAGCCGCCGCGGUAACAC